rnacentral:rRNA from 1 species
GACGAACGCUGGCGGCGUGCUUAACACAUGCAAGUCGAACGGAAAGGCCCUGCUUUUGUGGGGUGCUCGAGUGGCGAACGGGUGAGUAACACGUGAGUAACCUGCCCUUGACUUUGGGAUAACUUCAGGAAACUGGGGCUAAUACCGGAUAGGAGCUCCUGCUGCAUGGGGGGGGUUGGAAAGUUUCGGCGGUUGGGGAUGGACUCGCGGCUUAUCAGCUUGUUGGUGGGGUAGUGGCUUACCAAGGCUUUGACGGGUAGCCGGCCUGAGAGGGUGACCGGCCACAUUGGGACUGAGAGACGGCCCAGACGCCUACGGGAGGCAGCAGUCGGGAGUAUUGCACAAUGGGCGGAAGCCUGAUGCAGCAACGCUGCGUGCGGGAUGACGGCCUUCGGGUUGUAAACCGCUUUCGCCUGUGACGAAGCGUGAGUGACGGUAAUGGGUAAAGAAGCACCGGCUAACUACGUG